UAAGGCAGAUUCAUGUGAUCUGAGUAAGGCAGAUUCAUGUGAUCAUUUUUCUGUCUCUUUGUUUAGGACAGUUUGAAAAGGGCCAAGUAUUCUGUCACUGUUCUACAAAACAAUAAAUAAUGAAGUAAAUUGAAGAUGUGUGAAUUGUGCCAGCUUGACAGAAAAUGGAGCCGAUGUUCUCAGAGGUGUUACAGCAGUAUUUCCUAAUGAGCAGCCGGAGCCUCUCUCUAGCAUCUCAGAAAACCAAAUGGGAAUGGAGGAUAAGAAAGUGGAAGUAAAGACAAAAGGGAAUAUUUAUUUGGGAUUAACUUGUAGUUACUUGAGCUGAUACACCUAUACUAAAGGAACAAAGGAAAUGAUGGAUCUUUUAACCAUCAGGCU
rnacentral:lncRNA from 1 species